rnacentral:lncRNA from 14 species
CUUGAUUAAUGUUGUGGUCUAUUUGUUUGUUUUUCCCUGGGACAUCAGGGCUGUUCAAAGUGGAGCUACCACCAUGAGACUGACUCAUCUCCUGUGUCUGCCCCAACGACACAGCAAGUCAUACUUGGUAGUUUCCUGCUGAACUGCUACAGGGAAGUCAAUUCAGUAUUUAUAAAGGGCC